AGAGUUUGAUCCUGGCUCAGAACGAACGCUGGCGGCAGGCUUAACACAUGCAAGUCGAACGCGUGUAGCAAUACACGAGUGGCGCACGGGUGAGUAACGCGUGGAUAUCUGCCUUUUGGUUCGGAAUAACCCCGGGAAACUGGGGCUAAUACCGGAUGGUUCCUACGGGAUAAAGAUUUAUCGCCAAAAGAUGAGUCCGCGUACGAUUAGCUAGUUGGUGAGGUAAUGGCUCACCAAGGCGACGAUCGUUAGCUGGUCUGAGAGGACGAUCAGCCACACUGGGACUGAGACACGGCCCAGACUCCUACGGGAGGCAGCAGUGGGGAAUAUUGGACAAUGGGGGCAACCCUGAUCCAGCCAUGCCGCGUGAGUGAUGAAGGCCUUCGGGUUGUAAAGCUCUUUUGGCGGGGACGAUGAUGACGGUACCCGCAGAAUAAGCCCCGGCUAACUUCGUGCCAGCAGCCGCGGUAAGACGAAGGGGGCUAGCGUUGUUCGGAAUUACUGGGCGUAAAGCGUGUGUAGGUGGUUGCCAUAGUCAGGUGUGAAAGCCUUGAGCUCAACUCAAGAAAUGCACUUGAUACUGGGCGACUAGAGGACCGGAGAGGAUAGUGGAAUUCCCAGUGUAGUGGUGAAAUACGUAGAGAUUGGGAAGAACACCAGUGGCGAAGGCGGCUAUCUGGACGGUUUCUGACACUAAGACACGAAAGCGUGGGGAGCAAACAGGAUUAGAUACCCCAGUAGUCC
rnacentral:rRNA from 1 species